rnacentral:tRNA from 1 species
GGCGGCAUGGCCAAGCGGUAUGGUAGGGGACUACAAAUCCUUUAUCCCCAGUUCAAAUCUGGGUGUCCCCU